UGACAUCUUAACUGCAGUCUUGUGACAGGUCCUCAGACAGGAUAAGCCAAAUUAUACCCAGACUGCUGAUCCACAGAAAAUGAGAGGAAACUCCAGGAUUCUAAAAGUAAAGCCCUAUGGAAAUAAAUCAAUAACAUUUCAAAUGAAGAACCAAAAUCGGGAAAUGCAAAUCACAACUCUAACAUCAACAUUAACUUAUAGCCAGACAAUUAUGCAUUUCUUUAGUCAACAACUAGCUGCUAAUUAUUUACUAUGUGUCAAGUCUUAUAAUG